GCCAGCAGCCACAUCAGUCUGCAACUCACAACUGGCAGCCCACUGAAGCUCAGCAGGUGUGAGCCUGGCCAGUACCUGGAUGGGAGACCUCCUGGGAAAAACUAAGGUUGCUGCUGGAA
rnacentral:rRNA from 1 species